GCAUAGUGGACCCAACCACGGCUCUGCUGUACGCCUAUAGCACGCCAUUCAUUUUCAGCGAGAAGCCGAUUCUUUGGGAGAAGCUUUGCCACUUCAGGAGGGAGCACCACAUGCCUAUACUCAUAAGUGUCAUCGAAAUACUUUUCGGAGUACUGGAUCUGACCCAUUUUCUACUCUACUAGGGCUUUUAGUGCCAAUCAAACUCCACUUUCAAAACAGUUGUUCGAGUUUCUUCAAGGUUUUUAUGAUUGAUCUGAGAGAUAGAGAGAUGAAGU
rnacentral:misc_RNA from 1 species